AGGGAAUAUAUAUAUGGGGAUUUGUCGACUACAACUACACGAUACAAAUGGGGCCAAAAGAUUCCGGCAAAACCAUCAAAAUCAGAGAGCAUGAGCAAAGACAUAGUAAGGAGCGGAUUCAGAUCCGUCGGUCCAACUGUAAUUCACUCCUUCAUGCAAGCUGCUGGUCUCACCAAUGACCACUUGAUCACUCGCCAUCGCCCCCUUCAGUGCCUGGCAUUAGCAGACCAGACCACCGGUCGAUCCGUCCUCCCAUGGGAACCGCAAGAAAGUGGAACCCAUUUGUUACCUACUUGUGAUUUCCUUGUCUACCUUUUCAGGUGACUGAAUUUGAUUGAGAUUGGUAGUGUGGAUAGAGUAGCUAUAGUUAGACAGAGAGAGGAGAAGAUGAGCUGUUUUGGAUAUAUCGAUAGUGAUGUAACUAAUAGGUAAGCGAUUACGUACAGAGAUGGGAGAUGGAUAAGAUCUG
rnacentral:lncRNA from 1 species